GAUCAUUAUCGUAAACCAAGGUGCGAGGGCUGUCGCUGACCUUUUCGGUCGUGCACGCCCGAGUGCUCUCACACAAUCCAUCUCACCCCUUGUGCACCACCGCGUGGGUCCCUCUCUGGCUCGUCCGGAGGGGGGCUCGCGUUUUCACACAAACUUGAAGUAGUGUAGAAUGUCCUUUUUUUGCGAUAACACGCAAUCAAUACAACUUUCAACAACGGAUCUCUUGGCUCUCGCAUCGAUGAAGAACGCAGCGAAAUGCGAUACGUAAUGUGAAUUGCAGAAUUCAGUGAAUCAUCGAAUCUUUGAACGCACCUUGCGCCCCUUGGCAUUCCGAGGGGCACACCCGUUUGAGUGUCGUGAAAUUCUCAAAACCCUUUCUUUUGGUCAUUUUUGACCAUGGAAAGGAUUUUGGACUUGGAGGCCUUUUUGCUGGUUUCAACCUUGAAGCGAGCUCCUCCCAAAUGUAUUAGUGGGGUCUGCAUUGUCGGUCCUUGGCGUGAUAAGUUGUUUCUACGUCUUGGAUUUUUGGCGCUGUACACCUGCUUCUAACCGUCUCAUUGACAACGAUGGUGUUCCGGUCGCCGCCGAUUUUUCGGUGGGAGGCUUGACCCACGAAACAAACCUNGACCUC
rnacentral:rRNA from 1 species